rnacentral:rRNA from 1 species
ACUCCUACGGGAGGCAGCAGUGGGGAAUAUUGCACAAUGGGCGCAAGCCUGAUGCAGCCAUGCCGCGUGUAUGAAGAAGGCCUUCGGGUUGUAAAGUACUUUCAGCAGUGAGGAAAGGGUGGGAUAUGUUAGUUAAGUANAUGCAUUCAUUUGACGUUAGCUGCAGAAGAAGCACCGGCUAACUCCGUGCCAGCAGCCGCGGUAAUACGGAGGGUGCGAGCGUUAAUCGGAAUUACUGGGCGUAAAGCGCAUGCAGGUGGUUUGUUAAGUCAGAUGUGAAAGCCCGGGGCUCAACCUCGGAAUUGCAUUUGAAACUGGCAAACUAGAGUACUGUAGAGGGGGGUAGAAUUUCAGGUGUAGCGGUGAAAUGCGUAGAGAUCUGAAGGAAUACCGGUGGCGAAGGCGGCCCCCUGGACAGAUACUGACACUCAGAUGCGAAAGCGUGGGGAGCAAACAGGAUUAGAUACCCUGGUAGCUACGAGU